GUGCCAGCCGCCGCGGUAAUACCGGCAGCACAAGUGAUGGCCAAUCUUAUUGGGCCUAAAGCGUCCGUAGCUGGCCGAGCAGGUCCGUCGGGAAAUCCACGCGCUCAACGCGUGGGCGUCCGGCGGAAACCACUCGGCUUGGGGCCGGAGGACUCGAGGGGUACGUCUGGGGUAGGAGUGAAAUCCCAUAAUCCCGCACGGACCACCGAUGGCGAAAGCACUUCGAGAAAACGGAUCCGACAGUGAGGGACGAAAGCCAGGGUCUCCAACCGGAUUAGAAACCCGGGUGUCC
rnacentral:rRNA from 1 species